GUAAUAUUAUGUUGGCUCAGUGGCAUACUGGCAUUCACACCGUACGUUCCAUCUCAACAGUCUCAGGUUAAAGCCUGAACACAUUUAUAAUUUAAUAUUUUUUUCUUGAUUUUUUAAUUUCAUUAUCGUUACGGUAUUAUUAUGAAAUGUCAUUUUGCAAAUUUUUCAGGGCGGUUCAGCGUGGUUCUACGGCUGUUCGCAAUCCUACGAAACGAAAAUUUGUCCUGUUCUACGAAUGACGAAACGACUAUGUUCCUAUCUAUAGUAUUUUAUUAUUGAAAUGUAGCAAGUAUAAU